rnacentral:siRNA from 1 species
UUAAAAGGGUGAUUUACAAG